rnacentral:rRNA from 1 species
GAUGAACGCUGGCGGCGUGCCUAAUACAUGCAAGUCGAGCGAACAGACGAGGCGCUUGCUCCUCUCACGUUAGCGGCGGACGGGUGAGUAACACGUGUAUCACCUCCCUAUCAGACUGGGAUAACUUCGGGACACCGGAGAUAAUCCCGGAUAAUCUCUUGAACCGCAUGGUUCAAUGGUGAAAUACGGUUUUGCUGUAACUUCUAGAUGGUUCCGGGCCGCAUUAGCUAGUUGGUACGGUCACGGCUUUCCACGGCUACGAUGCGUAGCCGACCUACGAGGGGGAUCGGCCACCUUGGAAGUGAGACACGGUCCUGACUCCUACGGUAGGCAGCAGUAGGGAAUCUUCCGCAGUGGGCGAGAGCCUGACGGAGCAAGGCCGCGUGUGUGAUGAAGGUCUUCGGAUCGUAAAACUCGGUUAUUAGGGAUGAACAAAUGUGGAAGGAACUAUGCACGGCGUGACGGUACCUAGUCAGAAAGCCACGGCUAACUACGUG